UGCCGAGGUCUCAAGCGUUGUUCGGAUUCAUUGGGCGUAAAGGGUGCGUAGGCGGCGCGGUAAGUCGGGUGUGAAAUCUCGGAGCUUAACUCCGAAACUGCAUUCGAUACUGCCGUGCUUGAGGACUGGAGAGGAGACUGGAAUUUACGGUGUAGCGGUGAAAUGCGUAGAUAUCGUAAGGAAGACCAGUGGCGAAGGCGGGUCUCUGGACAGUUCCUGACGCUGAGGCACGAAGGUCAGGGGAGCAAACGGG
rnacentral:rRNA from 1 species